GACAGAGGAUGCAAGCGUUAUCCGGAAUGAUUGGGCGUAAAGCGUCUGUAGGUGGCUUUUUAAGUCUGCCGUCAAAUCCCAGGGCUUAACCCUGGACAGGCGGUGGAAACUACCAAGCUGGAGUACGAUAGGGGCAGGGGGAAUUUCCGGUGGAGCGGUGAAAUGCGUAGAGAUCGGAAAGAACACCAACGGCGAAAGCACUCUGCUGGGCCGACACUGACACUGAGAGACGAAAGCUAGGGGAGCGAAUGGG
rnacentral:rRNA from 1 species